rnacentral:rRNA from 1 species
GAUGAACGCUAGCUACAGGCUUAACACAUGCAAGUCGAGGGGCAGCAUUGGAGUAGCAAUACUUCAGAUGGCGACCGGCGCACGGGUGAGUAACACGUAUCCAACCUGCCGCUUACUCGGGGAUAGCCUUUCGAAAGAAAGAUUAAUACCCGAUGGUAUAAAGAGUUCGCAUGUUCUCUUUAUUAAAGAAUUUCGGUAAGCGAUGGGGAUGCGUUCCAUUAGAUUGUUGGCGGGGUAACGGCCCACCAAGUCUACGAUGGAUAGGGGUUCUGAGAGGAAGGUCCCCCACAUUGGAACUGAGACACGGUCCAAACUCCUACGGGAGGCAGCAGUGAGGAAUAUUGGUCAAUGGACGAGAGUCUGAACCAGCCAAGUAGCGUGAAGGAUGACUGCCCUAUGGGUUGUAAACUUCUUUUAUAAGGGAAUAAAGUGAGGGACGUGUCCCUUUUUGUAUGUACCUUAUGAAUAAGGAUCGGCUAACUCCGUGCCAGCAGCCGCGGUAAUACGGAGGAUCCGAGCGUUAUCCGGAUUUAUUGGGUUUAAAGGGAGCGUAGGUUGACGUAUAAGUCAGCUGUGAAAGUUUACGGCUCAACCGUGAAAUUGCAGUUGAUACUGUAUGUCUUGAGUGUACAAGAGGUGGGCGGAAUUCGUGGUGUAGCGGUGAAAUGCUUAGAUAUCACGAAGAACUCCAAUUGCGAAGGCAGCUCACUGGGGUACAACUGACACUGAGGCUCGAAAGUGUGGGUAUCAAACAGGAUUAGAUACCCUGGUAGUCCACACAGUAAACGAUGAAUACUCGCUGUUUGCGAUAUACAGUAAGCGGCCAAGCGAAAGCAUUAAGUAUUCCACCUGGGGAGUACGCCGGCAACGGUGAAACUCAA